rnacentral:rRNA from 1 species
CCGGAUUUAUUGGGUUUAAAGGGUGCGUAGGCGGUUUAUUAAGUUAGUGGUUAAAUAUUUGAGCUAAACUCAAUUGUGCCAUUAAUACUGGUAAACUGGAGUACAGACGAGGUAGGCGGAAUAAGUUAAGUAGCGGUGAAAUGCAUAGAUAUAACUUAGAACUCCGAUAGCGAAGGCAGCUUACCAGACUGUAACUGACGCUGAUGCACGAGAGCGUGGGUAGCGAACAGGAUUAGAUACCCUGGUAGUCCACGCCGUAAACGAUGCUCACUGGUUCUGUGCGAUAUAUUGUACGGGAUUAAGCGAAAGUAUUAAGUGAGCCACCUGGGGAGUACGUCGGCAACGAUGAAACUCAAAGGAAUUGACGGGGGCCCGCACAAGCGGAGGAACAUGUGGUUUAAUUCGAUGAUACGCGAGGAACCUUACCUGGGUUUAAAUGGGAAAUGUCGUAUUUGGAAACAGAUAUUCUCUUCGGAGCGUUUUUCAAGGUGCUGCAUGGUUGUCGUCAGCUCGUGCCGUGAGGUGUCGGGUUAAGUCCCAUAACGAGCGCAACCCUUACCGUUAGUUGCUAGCAUGUAAUGAUGAGCACUCUAACGGGACUGCCACCGUAAGGUGAGAGGAAGGCGGGGAUGACGUCAAAUCAGCACGGCCCUUACACCCAGGGCUACACACGUGUUACAAUGGCCGGUACAGAGGGCCGCUACCAGGUGACUGGAUGCCAAUCUCAAAAGCCGGUCGUAGUUCGGAUUGGAGUCUGUAACCCGACUCCAUGAAGUUGGAUUCGCUAGUAAUCGCGCAUCAGCCACGGCGCGGUGAAUACGUUCCCGGGCCUUGUACACACCGCCCGUCAAGCCAUGGAAGCCGGGGGUGCCUGAAGUCCGUAACCGCGAGGAUCGGCCUAGGGUAAAACUGGUAACUGGGGCUAAGUCGUAACAAGGUAGCCGUACCGGAAGGUGCGGCUG